rnacentral:rRNA from 1 species
UAAAGAAUUUCGGUAUGGGAUGGGGAUGCGUUCCAUUAGUUAGUUGGCGGGGUAACGGCCCACCAAGACAACGAUGGAUAGGGGUUCUGAGAGGAAGGUCCCCCACAUUGGAACUGAGACACGGUCCAAACUCCUACGGGAGGCAGCAGUGAGGAAUAUUGGUCAAUGGACGAGAGUCUGAACCAGCCAAGUAGCGUGAAGGAUGACUGCCCUAUGGGUUGUAAACUUCUUUUAUAUGGGAAUAAAAUGUUCCACGUGUGGGAUUUUGUAUGUACCAUAUGAAUAAGGAUCGGCUAACUCCGUGCCAGCAGCCGCGGUAAUACGGAGGAUCCGAGCGUUAUCCGGAUUUAUUGGGUUUAAAGGGAGCGUAGGUGGAUUGUUAAGUCAGUUGUGAAAGUUUGCGGCUCAACCGUAAAAUUGCAGUUGAAACUGGCAGUCUUGAGUACAGUAGAGGUGGGCGGAAUUCGUGGUGUAGCGGUGAAAUGCUUAGAUAUCACGAAGAACUCCGAUUGCGAAGGCAGCUCACUGGACUGCAACUGACACUGAGGCUCGAAAGUGUGGGUAUCAAACAGGAUUAGAUACCCUGGUAGUCCACACAGCAAACGAUGAAUACUCGCUGUUUGCGAUAUACAGUAA